GAUGCUGGCUCAGGAUGAACGCUAGCUACAGGCUUAACACAUGCAAGUCGAGGGGCAGCGGGAUUGAAGCUUGCUUCAAUUGCCGGCGACCGGCGCACGGGUGAGUAACGCGUAUCCAACCUUCCGUACACUCAGGGAUAGCCUUUCGAAAGAAGGAUUAAUACCUGAUGGUAUGAUGAGAUUGCAUGAUAGCAUCAUUAAAGAUUUAUCGGUGUACGAUGGGGA
rnacentral:rRNA from 1 species